UACCACUUAGACUUAAAGCAGGUGUCUUAA
rnacentral:piRNA from 1 species